AAAAGAAAAAAAAACAACAACACACAGGUGAUUAGAGGACCCUGCUCAAGGAUGACACGUAACUUCGAGAAGCCUUCCACUCUUAU
rnacentral:snRNA from 1 species